GAGUUUGAUCAUGGCUCAGAUUGAACGCUGGCGGCAGGCCUAACACAUGCAAGUCGAGCGGAAACGAGUUAUCUGAACCUUCGGGGAACGAUAACGGCGUCGAGCGGCGGACGGGUGAGUAAUGCCUAGGAAAUUGCCCUGAUGUGGGGGAUAACCAUUGGAAACGAUGGCUAAUACCGCAUGAUGCCUACGGGCCAAAGAGGGGGACCUUCGGGCCUCUCGCGUCAGGAUAUGCCUAGGUGGGAUUAGCUAGUUGGUGAGGUAAGGGCUCACCAAGGCGACGAUCCCUAGCUGGUCUGAGAGGAUGAUCAGCCACACUGGAACUGAGACACGGUCCAGACUCCUACGGGAGGCAGCAGUGGGGAAUAUUGCACAAUGGGCGCAAGCCUGAUGCAGCCAUGCCGCGUGUAUGAAGAAGGCCUUCGGG
rnacentral:rRNA from 1 species